CUCAAGAGGAUUUGAAUUUAAUAAGUCAAAAAUGUGACACCAUGAAUGGGGAGAACUGGGAGGUGGUGACAAGCAAGCCACCCAUUGCAGACUGGACCAUUCUUUCAUCUCCUGAACGGCAGACCUCCACGCAGCAGUGUCCUCUGCUCCUCCUCCAGUGGCCAACCUGGGCAUCCCCAAUCCUGCGUACAGCCAGGAGGAGAGGCCAUCUGCUCCUGCAGAUUGCUUUAGAUGGCUUCCUCGCGUGGAUAUUGAGGGUUUACUGGGGGAUGAGGUCCAUUGUUUGGUGGCUGUUGACAGUCACCCCAAGGUAGUGUCCUCAUUUCUAGCUACCUGGGAUGCCUGGUUAAAGACCGGUGACGUCCCUAACUACAUUUCUCAGCCUUUCAGGGCUCAGACUUGGGCUCAUUUCGGGCCCCUGCGGGUGUGCCUGGGCGCAGCGGCCUGCAGGACUCCCGUGCGCGCUGGGUCCCCAUCCCCCGCCUUCUCAGUUGAGCCGAGAGUCCGAGAAACUGGGGGGGGGGGGGGGCAGUGCCCCGGGGGCAGUGCCGGGCGUGGUGGCCCCAGGCCCUCGAGGGUGGGGCAAGCCCCUUCGCGACACCGCCCUCCCCGGGCAGCCAAUAGAUGUGGAGGCGCCGCGCCUGGAUUGGAGCGAGAGCGGGACUGGCCAGCGCGGGGGCCGGGACGAGGGGCGGGCGAGGCGAGCGCUGUCAGCGCGGUUAUAAGGGAGGGAAAAGUUCCCUGCGCGGAGAGCCGGGCAGGCGCACGCUCUUACGGCGGCCGCAGCGGCAGGGCGGGGCCGGUGGGGCGGGCGGAGGAAGACCCCUGAUUGCCACCUCGCCUCCCUCAGUGUCUCUCUUAGACCUUGGUCACGUACCGGGGUCCGGAGGACUUGUGUACAGCGGCAAUGGGCGGUGUCGGGGAGCCCGGAGGGGGACCCGGGCCGCGGGAGGGGCCCGCACCGCUGGGGGCGCCCCUACCCAUCUUCCGCUGGGAGCAGAUCCGCCAGCAUGACCUACCAGGCGACAAGUGGCUGGUCAUCGAGCGCCGUGUCUACGACAUCAGCCGCUGGGCACAGCGGCACCCAGGGGGUAGCCGCCUCAUCGGCCACCACGGUGCGGAGGACGCCACGGAUGCCUUCCACGCCUUCCACCAAGAUCUCCAUUUUGUGCGCAAGUUCCUGAAACCCCUGUUGAUUGGAGAGCUAGCCCCAGAGGAACCCAGCCAGGAUGGAGCUCAGAAUGCCCAGCUGAUCGAGGACUUCCGAGCCUUGCGCCAGGCAGCUGAAGACAUGAAGCUGUUUGAAGCUGAUACCACUUUCUUUGCACUCCUGCUGGGCCACAUCCUGGCUAUGGAGUUGUUGGCCUGGCUUAUCAUCUACCUCUUGGGCCCUGGCUGGGUGUCCAGUAUCCUUGCUGCCCUGAUCCUGGCCAUCUCUCAGGCCCAGUGCUGGUGUCUGCAACAUGAUCUAGGUCAUGCUUCCAUCUUCACUAAGUCCAGGUGGAACCAUGUGGCCCAGCAGUUCGUGAUGGGGCAGUUGAAAGGCUUUUCCGCCCACUGGUGGAAUUUCCGCCACUUCCAGCACCAUGCCAAACCCAACAUCUUCCACAAAGACCCAGAUGUGACUGUCGCACCUGUCUUCCUCCUGGGGGAGUCAUCUGUGGAGCUUACCGUACCUUCUAGCUCCAGUUCCAGUCCUUCCCCCACCUCCUAGCCACCUGGGGAUGAGUGGCUCAGGGGCUAGAAUCUAGAGUUGCCUUUGACCUUGGCCUCAGCCAGCCCCCUGAUCUUGGCCUGGAGAGCUGUUCUCCCCAGCCGACGCCUGUCUCCACAGUAUGGCAAGAAGAAACGCAGAUACCUGCCCUACAACCACCAGCAUCUAUACUUCUUCCUGAUUGGCCCUCCGCUGCUCACCUUGGUGAACUUUGAAGUUGAAAAUCUGGCGUACAUGCUGGUGUGCAUGCAGUGGACGGACUUGCUGUGGGCUGCCAGUUUCUACUCCCGCUUUUUCUUGUCCUACUCUCCCUUCUAUGGUGCCACUGGGACACUGCUCCUCUUUGUUGCUGUCAGGGUGCUGGAGAGCCACUGGUUCGUGUGGAUCACGCAGAUGAACCACAUCCCCAAGGAGAUUGGCCAUGAAAAGCAUCGGGACUGGGCAAGCUCUCAGCUGGCAGCCACCUGCAAUGUGGAACCUUCGCUCUUCAUUGACUGGUUCAGCGGGCACCUCAAUUUCCAGAUUGAGCACCACCUCUUCCCCACGAUGCCAAGGCACAACUACCGGAGGGUGGCCCCCCUGGUCAAGGCGUUCUGCGCCAAGCACGGCCUACACUACGAGGUGAAGCCUUUCCUCACCGCUCUGGUGGAUAUCAUCGGGUCCCUGAAGAAGUCUGGCGACAUCUGGCUGGAUGCAUACCUCCAUCAAUGAAGGCAGCACCCUUAUGGGUGGUGAAGGGGUAAGGGUCCAGACUCCAGCAGUCACCGAGUCACUGGGCAAGAUUGACAGUCAUCCUCACCCCCUGCUGGGGCAGCCUGUCUGCCCGCCUGGUCCUGCUGGCUUUCCUCAGUCCUCAGCAUUUUCUGGUCAGCAAUCCUAUGGCCAUGGCACAUGUCCAACAGGACCAGGGUGGAGGGAACAUACUUAAAAUGACACGGUGAGCAUAGCAUGUUUUCCUAGAGCAAGAACUGGAAGGAAAACUUGUUAUUUUUAUAUAAAAAGCAACCCAGACACAUGGAGCCAAGUGUUGGACUUUCAUGAAUUUUGGAGCCAAAUCUGCUUCAGACUUGGUGGAAGGGCCAUCAUUGUGGAGCUGGGAUGGAAUGUAAGGAGUUCCUCUCCACCCUGGGUGCUCUGGGUCAUGGAGGCAACAGCUACUCUACCCCAUGGUUUGUUCCUACACUGAGCAGCAUCCCGGGGGGAGUUAUGUACUCAAGAGCCUAUGGUUAAGGAUCACAUCUGCAGGAGCCUCUGGAUUAUGGGAUGGGAAAGCCUAUAUAUCUAUACUGGCUUUCUACAGCCCUCUAUGCAGGAGAGCCCAGUAGUGGGAGCUCUGCUACACUGGGUAUUGCAUAACAGUUGUGCUGAAUAUGCAGUGACUCAAGUGUGGCCAUUCUGUCCCUAAGUCCUUUAAAUAUAAGGACUAUUUCUUGAGCAGGAACUAACCUCUCACUUGGCCUCAGGAUCUUCAUCUGGACAAUGGGUACAGUUGACAGUUGACUGCACUAUCAACCUUUGAACAGCUCAAGGCAGAAGUUUUGCUUUAUCUUGAUUCUCUCCCCAAAGUGUUAAGGAUGCUCCCUUCAAGCUAAGCACUGCAAUCUGGGAAGGCACCCCUUCCCUAGUGCUUUACAUCCAACUCAGUGCUGUAGGCAUGCUAGGCAAGUACUCUACUACUGUCCUAAACCCAAGUUUGGUGAGAGAGGAGAGGGGACAGUGGACUCUGUCAGCCCCAGCACCGACACCCCAUGGCUCCAAGCUGGGCUACAGAUCUUUAAAGAGGUCUCAGAAGCUUUAGGCUGUAGCAAUCCCAGCAGAAAUGCUAAACUGGGCAUCUCCUGUAGGAGCUGAGGCCUCAUCACCAGCUGUGGGGACUACCCCACCCUCUCUCCACUCCCUGUGGCCUCCUUGCCUAGGGGAGUACCAGUGAAGCCUCCUGGAUAAAGCGAGGGAAGGAGAGGUCCCAUCGCGUCUGGGUACCUCCCUUGCUCUGUUCCAUUCAGCUCUCCCUUCCCUGGGAUUAGGUGGAUGGGGCUAAGUCACGUGUCUGCUAGGACUUAAGGCUGCUUGACCUCAAGGAAGGAAUUCAAGCUCUUAAAUCCAAAGUAAAUCCAAAGUGUCGCUUUCAACGCGAUGAGAAAUAAAAAGGAUGCCCUAGAAAGGCUUGCGCCAAAAGGCAGAAAUGUAUUUAAAAGCUUUAUGCGUAUGACCCCAUGCCUCUGGGCUAAACUGUUUUGUUCUCUGAGACAAGCCCUUUGCUUUCUCUGGACUUUAUUUUCUUCCUCAGGUAAGGGCUGAAGAUCCCUUGAAAGCUACUUCUAAGCCCUGUUAUAUAUACUUGUAGUCCAAGGUACUUAACAGAAGGAUCACAAGUUCAAAGGCAGCCAAGGCGACUUAUUAAAAUCCUGUUUGAGAUGAUAAUAAAUAUUUUAAGGGUCUGGGGAUGUAACUCAGUAGGAAGUCUUCUAGCAUGUGUUCGCCGAGUCAAGCUCUAACACACACACACCACUACUUCUUGCCUCAAAAGCAAAUUUCUUAUACCCAGAGUGUAUCACACCAUCUUUCUGUACUUCCGUUCCCUGCAGAAGUCCCCUUUCCUAUCCAAACUUUGAUGAUCCUAGUCCCACAUAGAUAUGGCAUUCCCUCAGCAUACUGUCUGAAAGCACUUGGUCUCCACUCUGGCAAAGUCAGAUUUCUGUUGGUGUCUCUGACGUGCUUAGAGAUGUGUCUUGCUCAGAGGAAAUCACCCAGCCUGCAGCACCAUCCACGGGUAUCCACAUGACUGACUGCAGCUUGGACUGUGUUUCAUGCUGCCCCUAGUGGUAGCCAUGGGGAAUGUGCUCUUUCCCUCCAAAUCCAGAGUUAUCCAAUAAAAUACCCUGCAGAGA